rnacentral:rRNA from 1 species
AAUCAACGCUGGCGGCGUGCCUCAGACAUGCAAGUCGAACGAUUAAAGCUCCCUUCGGGGAGUGCAUAGAGUGGCGCACGGGUGAGUAACACGUAAGUAAUCUACCCUCGAGUGGGGCAUAACGUCCGGAAACGGGCGCUAAUACCGCAUAAUGCAGCGGCACCGCAAGGUGACAGUUGUUAAAGAUUUAUCGCUUGAGGAGGAGCUUGCGGCAGAUUAGCUAGUUGGUAAGGUAAUGGCUUACCAAGGCUACGAUCUGUAACCGGUCUAAGAGGACGGUCGGUCACACUGACACUGAAUAACGGGUCAGACUCCUACGGGAGGCAGCAGUCGGGAAUUUUGGGCAAUGGGCGAAAGCCUGACCCAGCAACGCCGCGUGAAGGAUGAAGUAUUUCGGUAUGUAAACUUCGAAAGAAUGGGAAGAAUCAAUGACGGUACCAUUUAUAAGGUCCGGCUAACUACGUGCCAGCAGCCGCCGUAAGAC